rnacentral:lncRNA from 1 species
CAGUCAGGGAAAAUGUAGAUAGAUCUUUUGUUGGGUGCACAUCUGAUAUAGAAUAAAAUAAAUGACAUUGUAGGGUGUGCACUAGUCUAUGACCAUUUUUUCUUGUUGAUUUAUUGUGUUUUUGCAUACUUUUUUUUUGUCACGGAAACUCUUAUAUUAAACUUAAAUAUCCAAAAGGGUUAAACAACUACAACCGGAGGUAAAC